rnacentral:ncRNA from 1 species
UGGUCACCGCACAGGCCUGUUAUGGUGCACAUGCUCACCGCCAUCAAGAGGAACCCGGUGCAAAUCCGGGACGGUCGCGCCACUGUAAGCGGGCAAUCCGCAAGUCAGGAACUCUCGGCGGUCAAUUUCAUCCCAG